UGUAACUCCUAGUCAGUCUGUCGGUGUACUAGACAGAUGGUUUACCCAUUGCUCUGUGGAGGUUGUUGAGUACUGCAAUUCCACUGAGUGUCACUUUAAAGGUACAUGGCAAAUAUAUAUGUGUGAACGUACAAUUAAAAGUAUGUAGUUUGAUAAAGACACAGGCGGUUGAGGUGUCCAAAAACCGACGAGAGGUUAGACCUGCAAAAAUAUAAAAACAAGUGUAAUUAUUUCACAAUUAACAACCAUUUAGUCACCUUAUUGAAAGUCUGAUUUCUAUCCUGGGUUAGGAAUGUUCCUAUUGUAAUCCAACGUCUCAUAUUGCUAAUUAUGUGUGACGUAACA